rnacentral:lncRNA from 1 species
CCUCUAAAAGCUCAUAAAACAAUCACAUAAAGCAUGCAAAAGAAAGCUGGACAGAACACUUUCGGCGGCAGGUUCGGCGGUCGAAUGUCCUCUCCAGAGCCGAAACUCAAGUACCUUCGGCGGCCGAAUCUCUACUUUCGGCUGCCGAACCCUUUCGGGGGCAAGGUUCGGGGGCUGAUACACACUUCAGAGACGAAAGUCUCUAACCUUCAGCGGCACCUUCGGCGGCCGAAUCCUCCUUUCAAAGCCGAACCUCAAAAACUCUCGGGGGUGAACUGUGGCAACCAAAGCCACCAUUCAAGGGGUUCGGCGGCCGAAUGCACCUUCGGCUGCCGAACCUGAGUUCAUCCAAAACUCAGCCCCGACGGCAACCUAGCUCUUCAAUCCCUUCCACCUCUCAAAACAUGCAUACUUCAACUCCUUAACACACAUAUACUCAAGUAUAUGCACAAAGGGGUCCAAAACUACCUAAAAACCCCAACAAAACAACACACAUAACACAUAAACAUGCUUUCAUCAUCAAAACACCAAAAACAUACUUUUAAACCUAAACAUGCAUCUCUACCCAUAACCUCCAUAAAACCUCUAUAAAACAUUAAAACCAGUUCAAGAUCUUCCCUUACCUCUUGAAACCAGAAGAGGAACGAUCUGAACUCAGAAAUAUGAACCAACUCGUCUUCAACUUCUUCAAACCACAAAACCUCUCUUUUUGACUCAAAACCUUCAAAACCACAUGAAAAAUAAUCAAACCUUUGCAAGCUUGAUAAAAACCAUGAAGAUGACUCAUGGAGAACGUGGCCUCACCUCUGUCUGUGAUCUGGAAGCAACACUUGUCCAUUUCACCGACUGAGGAAUGCUUUAUAGCUGGGUGACCACAUCAGCUUCGGCAGUCGAAUCGCAUGCAAAACCAUGCAACGUUCGGCGGCCGAACAUGAACUUCAGGGGCCGAACUUAAGGCACUUUCGGCGGCCGAACAUUACCUUCGGCGGCCGAACCUGGCAAAUGUCCCCAUAGUCUUUUCUCUUCAAAACUCAAUCCUAUUUCAUUCAAAACCUUUAAAAUACUUAAAAACAUUUUAGAAGAUCUUUCUCUUACCCUUCUAGAAAUCUCCGACAUCCUCGAAUUCCACCGGACGGUAGGAAUUCCGAUGCCUGAACUAGCCAGGUAUUACAAUCUUUCCCCUUUUAAAAACAUUCGUCCUCGAAUGUUAAAAACAAACAAAUAAACAAGCAAUCAAGACCUCAACCUACUCCUGAACUUCACAGCUUCCGCUGCGCUACUCUGAUCCUUACUCCUCUUUCUCUUUAUCUUUUCUCAACUGUCCUCUUUUCCAACUUGCACUUUCUCUUUUCUAACUUUCACUUUCUAACUCUCAACAGGUAGUACCCAAAUCUCUGAUCACACUAAAAUCACAACCAGUUUCAACUAGAACAACUAGUAGAUCAUCAAUCCUAACUAGGAAUACCUGGUAAUUGUAAUAGUGACCUUGGUAACUGCUUACAGUCACAGCAAAAUCUCAAGGAUUCAUCCUGCGUUUUUCACACCAACUCUGGAAUACACCAGGGUGAGGUACUAGGUCGGAUAAAACCCUCAUCUAUCAAACGUUACAACUCUGAACUCUCUCUCUCUCUCUGCAGGUGUCAUCCUAUAGGGUAGAAGGAAAGAAAUGGUUCCGCGUCCAGAUACCAUUCUCAUUCCAAACUCUAAUUCCCUGACAGAUGGUAAACCUGACCACUCGCCUGGGAAACAUCUAGUACUCACUAGCAAUGGGUACUGAGGCUGAUUCCCUGACCUGACUGCUAAACCCGCUCACAAGAGCUAGAACCCUCUGACAACCUUUCCUGAGUAACUAUGAGCCUGCGGGACUGACAUCAACUUCUAGGCAUCCCUAUACUCUGUGCCCCUAAAGGACUACCGCUGAUCCAUCCAGUUUCCCUACCUUGUCUCUGCAGACACAGGUAGUACUAUGAGUAGUUAGCCAAUCCACUGCUAGAAGGACAUCACACAGUCCAAUCGAGUACCAUAAGGUCAGCUGGAAGGCAUCUACUCACCACAAACUCUGAACUGAACUGAUUGACUGACUCUGCUUCAGAUGGAUCACAAUCAGGUCCACUGACCCAAGGAAAACACUCUAAGCCCAGAAGUCAUCAAACCCUCGCUAUCAACGGCUCAUAAACCACAAGGAAAGCGAAACACUAGGGUCCAAAACAAAUAGCAUACACAUCCGAACACUUUCAAGUAAACGUCCCUGACGUCACCGUGUUAAAUGUGUUAGCCUCCUACUAAAUCAAGGUGAAGAUCCAAGCUAAAGCUAACGGAACUUCCCUCGGGAAUCGACUGAAGAAAAGACUGACCCUUUCCUCUGCCUCAACUACCACCUAAUCCCAGACUGACUCUAAUCUCUUUCUGAGCUCACUCUUACUCUGAUCUAUCUUAUUCUUCUGCUUUAUCUUACUUACUUUACUCUUUCUCUAACUUAUUCUUCUUUGAGAAAUCAGUUCUCACUAUACCUGGGGGUUAUAAAAACCUGAGAUCAUAACAUCUCAUAGCAACUCUCUCUAGCUCUUCUUUGGUUCACUAACCUUUAGCUACUAAUUCUUCUCUGAAUCUCUAUCUCUUUAACUUUUGCUCUUUCUCUGAAUCUCUAUCUAUUUACCUUUUACUUUUGUCAUAAAACUGACAUCCUACUAGGGUCCACACACACACACAUCAGAUCACUCAAAAACAUGAGCAUACCUGGCACCUCUGUGUCAGAUGUGUUGGCCUCUCUUCCUUGCCUACUAUCCUGAGCCACUCUGCCUGCAAAAAUCUGCUGGGACUGAACUAUCCAGGGCGCAAUAGGACAUUCACGAAUCAUAUGCCCCUCCUGACCACACCUAUAACAUCCUGUUGUCCCUGCACGACAGACUCCCUUAUGCAGCCUUCCACACCUCAAACAUUUUGGUUUACCUACACCAGAACUCGGACCUACCUGUGUCUGCAGAGACAAGGUAAGGGAACUGGAUGGAUCAGCGGUAGUCCUUUAGGGCGACAGAGUAUAGGGGUGCCUAGAAGUUGAUGUCAGUCCCGCAGGCUCAUAGUUACUCAGGAAAGGUUAUCAGAGGGUUCUAGCUCUUGUGAGCGGGUUUAGCAGUCAGGUCAGGGAAUCAGCCUCAGUGCCGGUGCUAGUGAGUACUAGAUGUUUCCCAGGCGAGCUGUCAGGUUUACCAUCUGUCAGGGAGUCAGGGUUUGGAAUGAGAAUGGUAUCUGGACGCAGAACCAUUUCUUUCCUUCCCCUACAAGAUGGCACCUGCAGAGAGAAAGAGAGAAUUAAGAGUUGUAAGAGUAGUGAAAGAGGUUUGGUAGUUAAGGGUUUUAUUGCUAUUCCUUAUCUUAUUCUUCUUUGUCCGUCUCAGACCUCUAUUUCCUUUCUUUCUGGCUCUCCCCCACUUCACUCCUUUCCAAGUAGCUGUACUCCAAGUGGAAGGAUCAUUUUCUCCUACACCUGACAUGUUAGUAUCCUUGGUCUGGGCAUCUUCUUCAUCCAUAUUCACCUGUAAACCUACAUCCCUUUUCUGCACAUCUAUUUCUAUCUCUCUCCUGUCUUCAGAUACUCUCUCUAGAUUCAUUCCUUCUCUAUUUUCAUCAUAAGACCCUUCAGACGGAUCUGAUUCCACAGAGUAACUAGCACCACUCAUCUUAGCUCUCCUGAAGAACAACACACAAAGAAACAAACAUUAGCACACAUAUAGUUCAUAUGAAAACACAUGAACUUACAACAUAUACAUACAUACAUAGCAUAACAUUAAUGCACAUGCAUAUAUUCAUGGCAUUCCACAUCAUCAUGCAAAACAAAACUCAACAUCCUAUCCUAGUGGACAUGAUUUUACUUAUUGUGCUUGCCUUUCUAUGACCUUCUAAACCAACCUCUUUCCGAUGUGGGAUUUCUCUAAUCCUUGAACAAAAAUGCUCACACACCGUACUUAGGAGGUCCUAUGCUCUGAUACCAUCUGUAACAGCCCGAAAAUCGGUACCUCUCUGUAACGGUCCAAACUGCUCGGCGCUAGGAUCCAGAUCGGCUUAAGGCCGCCAGAACCCGUAGCAAGCCUAGCCUGAACUCCAAGUAUAUGACAAAAUCCCAUACAUGAUCCGACAUACACAUACAACUAGAAAACAUUUCUUUAAAAACUACCAGACUUAACCUUAAAACACUCAGAUAUAUCAAUCUGAAAUAGCCCCCAGGGCUAAUACACCAGUAAUUCUGUCCGUAGAGUCACGAGAAUCAAACUCGGUCUUCCCUUACGGUCUGGUCUUGGGUCAAGGGAAUCAAACCCUGUCUUCCCUCACAGUCUGAUCUUGGGUCAAGGGAAUCAAACCAUGUCUUCCCUCACAAUUAUAGUUCACUGGAGUUUUCGAAACACAACAUCUAUUAAGCAUGGUUUGACUCAUUUCUCAUCAAGAAACGUAAAACAAGAUACAUGCAUACACUAGGGACUAAACAUACUCUAUCAGGCAAAGCACAUGCUAAACAUAAACACACCAACUUACUAUCUAUUACAUGCCUUUACAUACAACUCUUUAAUUUACAUCAUGUCCAUACUAUUCUAUUACACAAGCAAUACUGGAGCCAACACUCUGCUGCUCUGACUUCCCAGCUAACUCUGAACCUGCAAAACUGGAAUUAAGGGAAAGGGAUGAGCUUCUAAAGCCCAGUGAGUAGAAACACUGAAAACAGUUCAUUAAUUACACACUUUCAUGAAAUGCAUCACAACACAAACAUUUCACAUCUCAGACUGGACAUGACCUCAAAACUCCCUCUGUCGGCACCCGAUUCCCGAAGGAACUCACACAGGAUUUUCACUACCAUGACAGAUCGUGGGCUAUUGAUGUCGCCUUGGUCCAAUCCCCACUAACAAUAGAUAACGCAAUGCACCAUAUUCGUGAUUCUAAUGCAAUCACCCUAAUACAUAUCAUGGCAUCCAUGAUGCAUGAACUAUGCUAAAAGCAUUUCAUUUUCUCAGUAUAAAAGAUUAAGUUUAGUUCUAUUCACCUCUGCUCCUCUAGCAGAAAACUGAACUGACUCUGCAACACCUAAUAGUGGUGACCUCCUCUAUCCCUCGGGUCCAAUCAUACACAAAUGGACUCGAAUGAGGUGUCAAACAUACUUUGAACAACUCAUAAACAACUCUUAAACAACUCCCCAAAAUCCCUCUAAAAGCUCAUAAAACAAUCACAUAAAGCAUGCAAAAGAAAGCUGGACAGAACACUUUCGGCGGCAGGUUCGGCGGCCGAAUGUCCUCUCCAGAGCCGAAACUCAAGUACCUUCGGCGGCCGAAUCUCUACUUUCGGCUGCCGAACCCUUUCGGGGGCAAGGUUCGGGGGCUGAUACACACUCCAGAGACGAAAGUCUC